UUAGGAAUCUUGGGCAAUGGGCGCAAGCCUGACCCAGCAACGCCGCGUGGGUGACGAAGGCCUUCGGGUCGUAAAGCCCUUUUCCCAGGGAAGAUGAUGACGGUACCUGGGGAAUAAGCCCCGGCUAACUACGUGCCAGCAGCCGCGGUAAUACGUAGGGGGCGAGCGUUGUCCGGAUUUAUUGGGCGUAAAACGCUUGUAGGCGGCCACCGCGCGUCGGCUGUGAAAUCUCCCGGCUCAACUGGGAGGGGUCAGGCGAUACGGCGGGGCUCGAGGCAGGUAGGGGGAAGCGGAAUUCCCGGUGUAGUGGUGGAAUGCGUAGAUAUCGGGAGGAACACCAGUGGCGAAGGCGGCUUCCUGGACCUGAUCUGACGCUGAGGAGCGAAAGCGUGGGGAGCGAUCC
rnacentral:rRNA from 1 species